rnacentral:rRNA from 2 species
CCAAUAGCGUAUAUUUAAGUUGUUGCAGUUAAAAAGCUCGUAGUUGGAUUUUGGGUUGGGGCAGCCGGUCCGCCUCACGGUGUGCACCGGCUGACCCAUCCUUCUUGCCGGGGACGCGCUCCUGGCCUUAACUGGUCGGGACGUGGAGUCGGCGAUGUUACUUUGAAAAAAUUAGAGUGUUCAAAGCAGGCCUACGCUCUGAAUACAUUAGCAUGGAAUAACGUGAUAGGACUCUGGUCCUAUUGUGUUGGUCUUCGGGACCGGAGUAAUGAUUAAUAGGGACAGUUGGGGAUAUUCGUAUUUCAUUGUCAGAGGUGAAAUUCUUGGAUUUAUGAAAGACGAACUUCUGCGAAAGCAUUUAUCAAGGAUGUUUUCAUUAAUCAAGAACGAAAGUUGGGGGCUCGAAGACGAUCAGAUACCGUCCUAGUCUCAACCAUAAACGAUGCCGACUAGGGAUUGGCGGAUGUUAAUUUGAUGACUCCGCCAGCACCUUAUGAGAAAUCAAAGUUUUUGGGUUCCGGGGGGAGUAUGGUCGCAAGGCUGAAACUUAAAGGAAUUGACGGAAGGGCACCACCAGGAGUGGAGCCUGCGGCUUAAUUUGACUCAACACGGGGAAACUUACCAGGUCCAGACAUAGUAAGGAUUGACAGAUUGAGAGCUCUUUCUUGAUUCUAUGGGUGGUG